AUAUAAAUGUAUCUUACAUAAAGUAUCUUAUUGUACUGUAUUCACCUAUUUUUGGACUAUGGUUGACUGGAUAAAUGAGACCACAGGAAACAGAACUGCGGAGAAGGGAGUUUUGAAAGGUAGUUCAAAUAGUAGAUAGCAGCUGAAGGAUUGCCGAAGUUUUGAAGCUAUUACAGCGAAGCCUCAUCUCCAAGGUUAGCGGAAUCCCUUGUGGCAGUUUUACCAAUUGGAUUUUUAAUGUUUCAUUCCAUUUUAGCUCAGCUUCUAGGACAGAAUCUGUGAUAUAGAGGUGAAUAAUAUAUUCAAAUGAACGAGGAAGACAGCACUGUCACAGUCACAGGGUCCCAGAAAGGGCCUGCUGCCCUCUCAUGCCUGCCACCCAUGCUACAGCACCUUCCCCAGACACAGCCUGCCCUUCUUCAGCACUCCCACCCAAACUGCUUUUCAUUUCUGUGCCUUUGGCAAUCGCUUUCCCUCUAAUUGUCUCCAGUAUCAGGCAGAAAUGUUAAUAUGAGCUCUUACUCUCUUCCCCUGUUCUCUUGGUUUCUUAGAACAUUCUAGAGAGUGUCUAGUCAUAGUGACAGCCUGUGUCUCUGUGUUCCUUGCUUUUCUUCAUCUGAUCAAAUAAUACUGAGGAACCGCAUCUUGGUCCCUCUUCAGUUUGUCCAAAUACCAUGUCCAGGCCAGCAUGGCAGCUUCCACCCUGCCUUUGAGGCAGUCAGGUGGGACGAGGGUCCCUGGAGAAACUCCAACCAGCCUUCCGCCUGAGGUGGAGCCUCCAGAAGUCACACCUUUUGCAGCCAGGAGGAGUUUGGCCCCACCUCCUCCUGUUAGAAAGCUGGGAUUCAAAGGGUCAGCUGGAAGCACUCUGGCAGGGGACCCUGGCCUGGCCUAAGAUCCCUGUUUCUCCCUCUCCGCGUUUUUUUCCCAUUUUGCCCAGUAAUACCCUGCUUUACUCACCCUUUAAACCGUCUGCGCGCCUAAAUUUUCAUGGCGGUGGGACAGACAAGAACCCCAUCUUUAGCUAAACCAAGGAGGAGUCCUGCAACAUUUUUGGCAUGCAGCGUGGGGGCUGGAGAAGCGUCAUAACCCUUAAAGUUGAUUUCCUCUGUGUGACCAUUUUCUGUCAAGAAAUGUAGCUUUAUAUCCACUACUGGGCAAAGACAUAGAGAAGGGAUGGUGAUGGUGAUGGAGGGUCUCCAGGGGAAUUACGAGAGUUGUGGUGGUGUCUCACUGGGCAUUGGCGAGGGAAAAGAUCCCACUCACAUGAUUGGCAGGCCUGGGCAAAGCUAGUAUGGACAGUCUCUAAAGUACUCUCAGAUGGAAGUAUUCAUGGAGCAGUUUUGAUAUGGUUUGGCUGUGUCCCCACCCAAAUCUCAUCUUGAAUUGUAGUUCACAUAA